UACGUAGGGGGCUAGCGUUGUGCGGAAUCACUGGGCGUAAAGCGCACGUAGGCGGCCCGAUAAGUUGGGGGUGAGAGCCCAGGGCUCAACCCUGGAAAUGCCUCCCAUACUGUCGGUCUCGAGUUCGGGAGAGGUGAGUGGAAUUCCUAGUGUAGAGGUGAAAUUCGUAGAUAUUAGGAAGAACACCAGUGGCGAAGGCGGCUCACUGGAACGAUACUGACGCUGAGGUGCGAAAGCGUGGGGAGCAAACAGG
rnacentral:rRNA from 1 species